UACGUAGGGCGCAAGCGUUGUCCGGAAUUAUUGGGCGUAAAGAGCUCGUAGGCGGCCUGUUGCGUCCGCUGUGAAAUCCCGGGGCUCAACCCCGGGCCUGCAGUGGAUACGGGCUGGCUAGAGGCAGGCAGGGGAGAACGGAAUUCCUGGUGUAGCGGUGAAAUGCGCAGAUAUCAGGAGGAACACCGGUGGCGAAGGCGGUUCUCUGGGACGGUACUGACGCUGAGACGCGAAAGCGUGGGGAGCGAACAGG
rnacentral:rRNA from 1 species